rnacentral:tRNA from 1 species
GGUUGUAGCUCAGUGGUUGAGUGCUCACCUCUCACGUGUGUGGUACUGAGUUCGAUCCUCAGACCA